CACACCCUUUGCAGUUGUCAGUCCCAGUCAGCACACAGCAUGGACAUGAGGACCCCUGCUCAGCUCCUGGGACUCCUGCUGCUCUGCCUCCCAGGUGCCAGAUGUGACAUCCAGAUGACCCAGACUCCAUCCUCCCUGUCUGCAUCUCCAGGAGACAGAGUCACCAUCAAUUGCAGGGCCAGUCAGGGCAUUAACAAGUAUUUAGCCUGGUAUCAGCAGAAACCAGGGAAAGCUCCUAAGCAACUGAUCUAUUACACAUCCAGUUUGAUCUCUGGGGUCCCAUCCAGGUUCAGUGGCAGUGGAUCUGGGACAGAUUACUCUCUCACCAUCAGUAGUCUACAGACUGAAGAUGUUGCCACAUAUUACUGUCUGCAGUAUGAUAAAAUUCCUCACACAGUGAUACAAGUCAUAACAAAAACCUCCCAGGGAAGCAGAAGUGAGAGGCUAGGCUGCCUCCACCUGCUGACACAGCUUCUCAGACUCUUCUCUGAGGGUCACUGCAAUAUUUGGUGAUUGGACAGCAUUCUCUCUAUGCUGGCUGUUAGCAGCAGUGCAAACAUGGCAUUGCUUCUGCUGAUUCAAUAGAGAACAUAAAUCACAGCAUGGGAGGAGUCUGUGAGAGCAAAAAUUGAGGUUCAUUUGUAAAGUAGGAAGAUGCUAGCCAAUCCAAGUUGGUUAUAUCUAAUACAAGAAAUUUA